rnacentral:rRNA from 1 species
AAUAGGACGUGCGGUUCUAUUUUGUUGGUUUCUAGGACCGCCGUAAUGAUUAUAGGGACAGUCGGGGGCAUCAGUAUUCAAUUGUCAGAGGUGAAAUUCUUGGAUUUAUUGAAGACUAACUACUGCGAAAGCAUUUGCCAAGGAUGUUUUCAUUAAUCAGGAACGAAAGUUAGGGGAUCGAAGACGAUCAGAUACCGUCGUAGUCUUAACCAUAAACUAUGCCGACUAGGGAUCGGACGAUGUUAUUUUUUGACUCGUUCGGCACCUUACGAGAAAUCAAAGUGCUUGGGCUCCAGGGGGAGUAUGGUCGCAAGGCUGAAACUUAAAGAAAUUGACGGAAGGGCACCACCAGGGGUGGAGCCUGCGGCUUAAUUUGACUCAACACGGGGAAACUCACCAGGUCCAGACACAAUGAGGAUUGACAGAUUGAGAGCUCUUUCUUGAUUUUGUGGGUGGUGGUGCAUGGCCGUUCUUAGUUGGUGGAGUGAUUUGUCUGCUUAAUUGCGAUAACGAACGAGACCUUAACCUGCUAAAUAGCCCGUAUUGCUUUGGCAGUACGCCGGCUUCUUAGAGGGACUAUCGGCUCAAGCCGAUGGAAG